GCCUCCGUAGCUCAAUCAGGAUAGAGCACUUCGGUCCUAACGAAGGGGUUACAGAUUCGAGUUCUGUCGGGGGCA
rnacentral:tRNA from 1 species